rnacentral:rRNA from 1 species
AGUGAACGCUGGCGGCAGGCCUAAUACAUGCAAGUCGAACGGCAGCACAGCAGAGCUUGCUCUGUGGGUGGCGAGUGGCGGACGGGUGAGGAAUACGUGGGAAUCUGCCCAGUCGUGGGGGAUAACGUAGGGAAACUUACGCUAAUACCGCAUGCGCCCUUUGGGGGAAAGCCGGGGAUCUUCGGACCUGGCGCGAUUGGAUGAGCCCACGUCGGAUUAGCUAGUUGGAGGGGUAAAGGCCCACCAAGGCGACGAUCCGUAGCUGGUCUGAGAGGAUGAUCAGCCACACUGGAACUGAGACACGGUCCAGACUCCUACGGGAGGCAGCAGUAGGGAAUAUUGGACAAUGGGCGCAAGCCUGAUCCAGCCAUGCCGCGUGAGUGAAGAAGGCCCUCGGGUUGUAAAGCUCUUUUGUUGGGGAAGAAAAGCCUUGGGUUAAUACCCUGAGGUUCUGACGGUACCCAAAGAAUAAGCCCCGGCAAACUUCGUGCCAGCCGCCGCAGUAA